UGGGGAAUUUUGGACAAUGGGGGAAACCCUGAUCCAGCCAUGCCGCGUGAGUGAAGAAGGCCUUCGGGUUGUAAAGCUCUUUUGGACGGAAAGAAAUCGCUUCGGCCAAUACCCGGAGUGGAUGACGGUACCGUAAGAAGAAGCACCGGCUAAAUAUGUGCCAGCAGCCGCGGUAAUACGUAGGGUGCGAGCGUUAAUCUGAAUUAUUGGGCGUAAAGCGUGCGCAGGCGGUUUUCUAAGACAGGUGUGAAAUCCCCGGGCUUAACCUGGGAAAUGCGCUUGUGACUGGCAGGGUAGAGUACGGUUGAGGGGGGUGGAAUUUCACGUGUAGCAGUGAAAUGCGUAGAGAUGUGGAGGAACACCGAUGGCGAAGGCAGCCCCCUGGGCCUGUACUGACGCUCAUGCACGAAAGCGUGGGGAGCAAACAGGAUUAGAUACCCCGGUAGUCCACGCCCUAAACGAUGUCGA
rnacentral:rRNA from 1 species